rnacentral:rRNA from 1 species
AGAGACAGCAGUGCCACGGGAAUACGUAGGUGGCAAGCGUUGUCCGGAUUUAUUGGGCGUAAAGCGAGCGCAGGCGGUCAAUUAAGUCUGAUGUGAAAGCCCCCGGCUCAACCGGGGAGGGUCAUUGGAAACUGGUUGACUUGAGUGCAGAAGAGGAGAGUGGAAUUCCAUGUGUAGCGGUGAAAUGCGUAGAUAUAUGGAGGAACACCAGUGGCGAAGGCGGCUUUUUGGCCUGUAACUGACACUGAGGCGCGAAAGCGUGGGGAGCAAACAGGAUUAGAUACCCCGGUAGUCCCUGUCUCUUAUACU